rnacentral:rRNA from 1 species
UACGUAGGUGGCAAGCGUUGUCCGGAUUUAUUGGGGUUAAAGGGUGCGUAGGCGGUCUAUUAAGUCCGCGGUGAAAUACUCCAGCUUAACUGGAGGGGUGCCAUUGAUACUGAUGGACUUGAGUCAAGUCGAGGUAGGCGGAAUUGACGGUGUAGCGGUGAAAUGCUUAGAUAUCGUCAAGAACACCAAUAGUGAAGACAGCUUACUGGGCUUAAACUGACGCUGAGGCACGAAAGUGUGGGGAUCAAACAGG